GUGUCAGCAGCCGCGGUAAUACGUAGGGGGCAAGCGUUGUCCGGAUUUAUUGGGCGUAAAGAGCGUGUAGGCGGCCAUACAGGUCCGUUGUGAAAACUGGAGGCUUAACCUCCAGACGUCGAUGGAAACCGUAUGGCUAGAGUCCGGAAGAGGAGAGUGGAAUUCCUGGUGUAGCGGUGAAAUGCGCAGAUAUCAGGAAGAACACCCGUGGCGAAGGCGGCUCUCUGGGACGGUACUGACGCUGAGACGCGAAAGCGUGGGGAGCGAACAGGAGGAUAAACCACGGGAUUAC
rnacentral:rRNA from 1 species